rnacentral:rRNA from 1 species
AUUGAACGCUGGCGGCAUGCCUUACACAUGCAAGUCGAACGGUAACAGGUUAAGCUGACGAGUGGCGAACGGGUGAGUAAUACAUCGGAACGUGCCCAGUAGUGGGGGAUAGCCCGGCGAAAGCCGGAUUAAUACCGCAUACGACCUAAGGGUGAAAGGGGGGGAUCGCAAGACCUCUCGCUAUUGGAGCGGCCGAUGUCAGAUUAGCUAGUUGGUGGGGUAAAAGCUCACCAAGGCGACGAUCUGUAGCUGGUCUGAGAGGACGACCAGCCACACUGGGACUGAGACACGGCCCAGACUCCUACGGGAGGAAGCAGUGGGGAAUUUUGGACAAUGGGCGCAAGCCUGAUCCAGCCAUGCGGCGUGCGGGAAGAAGGCCUUCGGGUUGUAAACCGCUUUUGUCAGGGAAGAAAUCCUUUGGGUUAAUACCUCGGGGGGAUGACGGUACCUGAAGAAUAAGCACCGGCUAACUACGU